rnacentral:rRNA from 1 species
UACGGAGGGUGCAAGCGUUAUCCGGAAUCACUGGGUUUAAAGGGUGCGUAGGCGGCUUGAUAAGUCAGAGGUGAAAGCCCACGGCUCAACUGUGGAACUGCCUUUGAUACUGUCAGGCUUGAAUUGGGUUGAGGCAGGCGGAAUGUGGCAUGUAGCGGUGAAAUGCUUAGAGAUGCCAUAGAACACCGAGUGCGAAGGCAGCCUGCCAAGCCUUGAUUGACGCUGAGGCACGAAAGAGUGGGGAGCGAACAGG